UACGUAGGGUGCAAGCGUUGUCCGGAAUUAUUGGGCGUAAAGAGCUCGUAGGCGGUCUGUCGCGUCUGCUGUGAAAACUCGGGGCUUAACCCCGGGCCUGCAGUGGGUACGGGCAGACUAGAGUGCGGUAGGGGAGACUGGAAUUCCUGGUGUAGCGGUGAAAUGCGCAGAUAUCAGGAGGAACACCGGUGGCGAAGGCGGCAUCCUGGACCGACACUGACACUGAGGAGCGAAAGCCAGGGGAGCAAACGGG
rnacentral:rRNA from 1 species